GACGAACGCUGGCGGCGUGGAUUAGGCAUGCAAGUCGAACGGUAUCAUCCUUUCGGGGGUGAGAGAGUGGCGAACUGGUGAGUAACACGUAGGUUAUCUACCCUCAAGACGGGGACAACCCAGGGAAACUUGGGCUAAUACCGGAUGUGAGCAACUUUUAGUUGUUUGAAAGGUGGCGUAAGCUGUCGCUUGGGGAUGAGCCUGCGUCCUAUUAGUUAGUUGGUGAGGUAACGGCUCACCUAGGCAAUGAUAGGUAGGCGGCCUUAACGGGUGGUCGCCCACACUGGGAUUGAGAUACGGCCCAGACUCCUACGGGAGGCAGCAGUCGAGAAUAGUCUACAAUGGUCGGAAGACUGAUAGUGCGACGCCGCGUGAACGAUGAAUCCUUCGGGUGUAAAGUUCUUUUAUAUGUGAGCAGUGCUUCUUAUAUUAACAGUAUGGGGAGAGAGAUAUUAGCAUAUGAAUAAGCAACGGCUAACUCCGUGCCAGCAGCCGCGUAAC
rnacentral:rRNA from 1 species